GGACCAAGCUCGGAGCUCCCAUGAGUCCGAGUGCGCGUGCGCGCCACCUUCGGCGGCUGUUCCUGUUGGCCCAAACACCGAGCGAACCUGGAGCAACCAGACGGAGCACUUCCGGGCUGCUCUAGGAACCCGGAGGACUGAUGGUCUAAGAGGUAGAAAGAAGUUUCCCAAAGAGGAAUGGAUUCUGGCCAAACAAUUGAAUGCUCCUUAAUGUGCCAAUCCGAAAGUCCUCCUUUAUUGUGUGGUUAGCAGACUGGAACAAGUUACAGAAUGUCAGCAUGCUACAAAAACCCUCCAAGGCACUUAAAUUAUACAACAUAACUCUCCAGAAAUAGGCUCUUCAGCCUCUUCCAUAUGAAGGACUGAAAUCUGAAUACACCUUACAAAGAUCAGACUCAUUGGCCAUUCCCUUGUAAUCCAUUAAUAUGAUGAAAUUGUUAUUGAAUUAUUAAAUUAUAAAGACAUUAAUGAAAUUA